CACAGAUGAGUCAGGGACUGAGUUUAAACCCUGCAGUGACUCAGUCUGGUUUAGAAACCAGUCAGGACACGGUUGAUCCUGAAGAUGGUGUUUCCUACGCCUCCAUCAGCUACACCAAGAAGACCAACAGUAGAGCCCGGGUUCGUGGUGAUGAUGAUGAUGAUGAUGAUGAUGCAGUGACUUACAGCACUGUGAAAGCUUCCUCCUCUUCAGCUGGAGCCUCCAUUGAUCUCAGCAACCUCUACGCUACUGUCAACUAACCCAACCAAUAAGAGACCACAGUAUAGUUACAGCUCCUCUCAUUACUUUCCUUUUUACAUUGAUGACUGAUCAGUUAACUUUAGCUGAAUUAAUAUUAUCCUGUUACUUCUCAUUUUUUACAUGAAUGUUUGUUUUUAUGAUGAA